rnacentral:rRNA from 1 species
GUGGGGAAUCUUAGACAAUGGGGGAAACCCUGAUCUAGCCAUGCCGCGUGAGCGAUGAAGGCCUUAGGGUUGUAAAGCUCUUUCAGCUGGGAAGAUAAUGACGGUACCAGCAGAAGAAGCCCCGGCUAACUCCGUGCCAGCAGCCGCGGUAAUACGGAGGGGGCUAGCGUUGUUCGGAAUUACUGGGCGUAAAGCGCGCGUAGGCGGACCAGAAAGUUGGAGGUGAAAUCCCAGGGCUCAACCUUGGAACUGCCUUCAAAACUCCUGGUCUGGAGUUCGAGAGAGGUGAGUGGUAUUCCGAGUGUAGAGGUGAAAUUCGUAGAUAUUCGGAGGAACACCAAUGGCGUAGGCAGGUUACUGGGCCAUUUCUGACGCUAAGGCACGAAAGCGUGGGGAGCGAACCGGAUUAGAAACCCCUGUAGUCC